CUGGAGGCUGUUCCAGCAGAGGCCUCAAAAAUAUUGAAAAGAAUGACUUUUCAGUUUCUAUGCUAAAACUGGAACAAAAAGAAAAAAAAGUUCUUCAAUUCUGUGAAAAGACAAGUGGACAAAGCAAAUUCCACAUGCCAGUCAUCCCAUCCAUGUAUGCAAGAGCAGCAACACCAGAGCACCAAUUUUGUUGCCUUCUGCUGGCUCCCAAUAUGGAAUUGCUGACAAGUUUUGAACAAUGAGAGUUAAGCUGAAAUGAGUCAAGCAGCAGUGGAGCCAACAUACUUUUGCUAGGAAGAAACUGUGAUCCAAAUGGUUUCGUUUAAGCUGAGAGAAAUCCUGUUUUUAAUAUUGAUUCUGACACCAGUGUUUCCAGAUGACUUACCUGUACCUAGGACCACAUUUCUCCACUACCACUUGGAGAAGAUUUACACUUGUGCAUUCAGGUGCUGAGAGGCAGGCAGGCAGGCGCGGGAGCCCCCUGUGCAGGCCACGUUGCUCCCAGCAGCAAGCAUCACCAUGGCACGGCA
ensembl:lncRNA